rnacentral:rRNA from 2 species
AUGGACAAGAUAUCUAGGGCGCACGGCGGAUGCCUUGGCACAGGAAGUCGACGAAGGACGCGGCAAGCUGCGAUAAGCCCCGGGGAGUGGCAAACACACCUUGAUCCGGGGAUCUCCGAAUGGGGGAACCCACCUGGGGUCAUGCCCAGGUAUCCCGUCCUGAAUGAAAUAGGGACGAGGAAGGCAACCGGGGGAACUGAAACAUCUAAGUACCCCGAGGAAGAGAAAUCAACCGAGAUUGCGCGAGUAGCGGCGAGCGAAAGCGCACCAGCCCAAACCCGGGCGCGUGUAAGCGGCAGGCGUUGCCGCCCGGGGGUUGCGGGAC